UAAACAUGGACUUGCUAUUUUCUUUUCAGCCGCAGCGAUAUAAUUUCUUAAUGAGGGUAUUAGACUUGGUACUUGGCACGGGAGCCUUUAUCGCCUAUUAUGAAAUGCUCAUGAACGAUUAAAUUUAUGAAUUCUGAUGGGAGUCUGCAAUGCAGCCGAGAGUGACAAAGAAACUCGCUAUAACAUGUCCGGUCAAUUACAAGAAAUCGAUGGCACAACUUUUGUCUGCUUGAGAAGUGUUCCUUAAACUGGAAGCCUUAAAGACCUUAUUUUCUUCUGUUCUUUGUCCAGCUGUCAAGAUUCCAACUGCUAUAUUGGGAGCUGAGAUCGACCAUUCUUCCCCGCCGGAACAACUGAAAAAGUUCGGGGAGAUCAUGUCGGCUAAAACUGAAGUAAGCUUCUUAGGAUGCUUUGCGUUGGUUGCAAACCAAUUGUCAGAAAAUGCAAUCGUUUUUCCACGUUCCCGUCAUUUCGCUUGCAAAGCACCUUUCCCUUCCUGGUUAUUUAUACACAUCGCUAAUUCAAAGACCCCGGUUUUGCAGUUUGAGAGCUAUGUGAAGAUAUUCCCUGGUGUUAGUCAUGGAUGGAGUGUGAGGUACGACGACGACAAUGAAUUUGUGGUCAAGAGCGCCGAAGAGGCCCAAGAGGAUACUUUGAAUUGGUUCUUGAAGCAUGUCAAGUGAAGAGAACCGAAGGCAUUGAAGCACAACAUUCUGACGGAAGCAUUAGAUGACUGUAUUGUGUGAGACGAACAGUUUGAGGACUAGUCAUCUAUUGUAAUAUCUGGCGAGGGAACAAUGUACUGUGCUGUUGAUACUUAGAGAAAUAAAGACAUUGGUUUCAUCGCUUAAACUUGGAAGAUUGAAAACGAAAUAUAUCGCCUAGAGUUGUAUCGUGGCGAUUUUCGUGGCGAUUUGGGUGCAUUUUCUAUUCGAAUUGAUCAGAGGUGUUCACUGUCCAUUAAAUGAGGACCACACAAUGGAAUAUGAAACAGCAUAUUCGUUUCCCAAUCCCCUUUUUGAAGGAUAUGUUAUUGCAUGGUUACCACCAAGUCAUCAGCUAAAGUGGCUAAUAUCUAAGGUAAUCUCUAGACCACUUAAUUUUGAAUGCAUCCAUUAUAUUAUAAGUUAUAACUUGACAAAUAUGCGAGCAAUUAAGAUUUCAUUAAAAGAUACACGAUCUCAAAAUCGCAUGCCCCAAGAAAAAAAAAGAAAAAGAGAUGAAAGUAAGGAUAUGGAGAAAAAUAGUAUCCAAAAUAUAUGAGAAACCAACUAUUCGAACUUAUGACAAAAGCGAAGCGUUUGUUUUUGGUCAAGUCUAUAUGAUAGUAGGUCAAGAUUUUUCGAAACUAAAUCAGAUAGACAUGGAAAAAUUCGUCCUUCAUGUAUAUGGUAUAUAUUUUCGCAAUGUGCAUUUGUAUACUGACCAAAAAAUUUCAGCUUUUGGCCAGAUGGUGUUUUUUUGUGAGAGGACGCAUGUCUCUAUCGGGCUAAAUAUAUAAUGGUUUCGUCUUUGUUCGUUUCUCGUCUGUUUCUCACCGGCCCUCUUUCUUGUUUGACAUCAGCAGUGACGUUAAUACGAACCACGAGACCUUUGAUGACUAAUCCGAACCAUAAGAUUACACGGGCAAGGUGUCUGCAAGAGUAACUUUUUCAGACGCUGUGAUAUCGUAUCGCGGAUAAGCCAAUGGUUUUCAGAAGGCAAAGCAUGAUUCCACUUAGCGACCAGUGAAUCACCGUAUCAUCUCUCGUCUCUUGGCUCUGUUCUUACCUCGGAAAGAAUAAAGAAACGAAGAAAAAGACCAUGAACAGUAAACAAUGAAAGAAAAGAGAAGAAAAGAUCAAAAUAUCUAUAAAUUUUUUCAAAACGACGUCGUUUUGAGUGGAGUUGUGCAUGUCAAUAUCACUAACCCUUGCCAUGUAAGAUGACAAGCAUUGAUUUGCACCUCUACAUCAGAAUUUCCUGACAUAAAUUAGUUGGAUAGACAAUAUUACAAAAUUGUUGAAAGGUUCAUGACUACACUAGCCGAAUUGGACAGUUUAUUACAAAAUUGGAACUUGUACAAUUUGUUCACAGCUUUUGGGUAGUUUUUCCCAUCUUAAGUAAGUCGUAAUUCUAAUACAUGGAUGCAUAAGCUCUAUGCUUUUCUUAUUAUGAAGGUUGAAUUCCAUUUGAAGGUUAGGUAAUCGUUUUCUGGUUUAGGUAUUUAUUUUUUGUCCUAUGGUGAAUUAGGUGAUGCUUUUUUCGCCUCGUUGGGACAGAGAAAACUGCUUUGUCUCCAAUCCGGCAACUUCCAUAUUGCUGAACCUGGACAUGAAUUUAGUAUCUGUAACACAAUUGUUGAAAUAACCUAAUGAAAAAACCUAGAUUGGUCGAAAUUGGUUGAUUUGGGUCAUCUAGGAACCGGCUUGUUGAAUUAAAGUCUAUCAAACCCAUUGGUUGAUCCAGGCUGAAAUUGGAUUAGUCCACUUAUCAAUUGCGUUAACAUGUCAGGGCUCAACAGCCGGCAAUUAUCUGGAUUUGUAAGAAAGAUCCAUGCAUAGCCGGUGAUGGGCCUUUCUCUCUUGGAAAUUGGACAUUGCUGAAAAAUGCUUUCAAAGAUCUUUCUAUUGGAGUUUUCGAAGUUCUCCAUAUCCACAAAAAAUGUUUAACUUUUACUAGUUCAAAUUUUCAAAUGAGAUAAAAAAAAAAAUCAUUUUGAGAUGUUUGCUUUCAAAAGUUUCUAAAAUAAGUUUCUAAAGAAAAAUACUCGAGUUUAGCGCACAUCAGACGAUCCCUUCCUCGAGACUGUGGAGUGGUUCCUCGGGUCCAAGAUUCGGGGACAAGGGGGUAGGUUUCCCAAGUCCAAGCACUGGAUUCUACGCACUCCCGAGGCUUAGGUACGAGGCAUCGGAAGUAGGGGACCGAGGUCCCAUCUUGCUCUGUUGCGUAGUGGCGAGUGUUGGGGUCCCUGGUUCAACGCACCAACGUCCCGAGUCCAGCUACUGAAGUUUCAGGACUAAGCAUGGUGGUCUCGAAUUUGACCCACAAGCACCCAAGAUAUUGGGUCCUAGCACUUGGUUCCUAAGUUCGACCCUAAGGUCCUAUGUUUCGCAGCUGAAGUUCCCUAUCUCCAUAGAUGAGGCGAUCAGGUUCUCGAAUUUAGAUGAUAAGGUCUUGGUUUAGCCCUAGGUCAAGGGCAUGGGGAUUGGGGUCCCAAGUUCAAGGGUCGAUGACACGGGCGUGUAUUUUAAAUAUUAUAACUUUUUACUAAGUUCCUUGAUAUUUAACAUAUGCUAGGAUAGAAUUUCUUUGUAAUUUAAUUAGAAUUUCAUUAGUUCUUCAAAUAUGUUAAGUUUUCUUGUUAUAUAAAAUAUUGAGAGUUUUCCUCUGUUGCAUUCAUGUGUGUGCGCCAUCGUGUGUAGUGCGAGUGUUCACUUGUGUUGGCAAAUUGCCACUUGUGCAAUCACUCUUUUAUGUUACAUUAAACGGGUCCGGCAUUUGAGCACCGAUGUCUCAAAUUCAACCUUAAGAUGCAAAGCCCGGCCUGUCACACCCCAAAAACUACAAAGAAUGGGGAUGACACAAAGGUCCUUCUUUACAAAGGACGUAGCCUCAAACACAACCAGCAAACUGAUAUUAACUUAUAUAUAUAUCAGAUAAACCUUCAAAUUGGUUGCAACAUCAGAGUUCCUAUAUGUUGGAGAAAUCUUCCUGGAGUAUUUUGAAGCUGAUAAAACGUUUCCAUCAGUCUAGUCUGAAGAUUUGCAGACUCUACUAUUUAAAGUCUGAAGACCUCUGGACUGCCAGACUCAAGACUCAAAGUCUAUUCUCAUUGACAGUUUCUAAUCCGUCAAAGAAGGGCUAUCCAGGACUGGAUGUUUCGUUAAUGAUUUGACCUUAUCGAUUGGAGAAGAUCUCUUGGCUGUAUAUGACAUAACGGAAUCCUUUAUUGACUCAAAGAUUGAGGAUCUGAUGAUUGGCGGAGUAUACUUGGAAGGUUCUACUUAUGGAAACCGAGAUCCUGAUUGUAUGGGCGAGCAUGAUUAUGGGCUAUCGACAUAUUCCUUAAAUAGCUCGAAUGAUCUUCCUAAUUGAUUCUGUCCAACGGGAAGGUUGGAAGAAUUCCUUUGGUAAAUGCCAACGGGUAUGAUGGCAUAAAGGAGUAUAUAAGGAAGACGUUUAAGUUGUUCAAGUGUGUGUGUGAUAAAAGAAUUCCAAAGUCUGAAGCUCUUUGUUCUUAGUCAAUUCAUUUUCUGAGCGAAAUCUUGUACGCAAAAGAGAGUCCAUAUUCUUGAGAAACCUUGAGGAAGUGUGGUAGAGUAUUUACACUAUGGAAUCAAGGGAAAGCCUUGCUGUAACAACUCUUUUGUUUAUAGUGAAAUCCAGCCGGUGGGCUGUUAGUGCGGAAGAGUGGACGUAGGCUUGGAAUAAGAUGAACCACUAUAAUUUAUGUGUUCAUUUUCUCUUCCCUACUCUCUGCUUUACUUUGAUCAUAAUUUGCUUUGUUAACGAAAGGAGAACUUCCUUUCUAUUGUUUGCUUAGUAUUGCUCUCUUAUCUCGAGAAAAUAUUUUUUACACCUAUUCACCCCCCUCUAGGUGCUUAUACUAGAUAUCUCAAUUGGUAUCAGAGCCUGUGUACUCACUUUGUUUGAAGUGUUUUACUUUAGAGUUAAAGAUCCAUGGCUAGUAUGUUAGCUCCAGGGCUAGUAGAAGGGCAAAGCAAUACCAGACCACCUUACUUUGAUGGAAAUGAAUACAACAUAUGGAAAAACAAGAUGAAGGCGUUCCUAAGAUCAAAGGAUCCUCUGGAAUGGGACGUUAUAGACAACGGAAUCAUUCCUAAAGCUGCACCUGUCUUAGAGAGAGGAAAAGAAACUGUUGAGUCUAGUGAAAUGACUUAGGAAGAGAUAACCAAGAGACAAGCUCUUGAUGCAAAAGUAAUUUAUUCUUUAUAUUGUGCUUUGUCACCUACUGAAUAUAACAGAUUAUCUUCUUGUGUUACAGUGAAAGAAGUUUGGGAUAGAUUACAUAUUACCUAUGAAGGAACCGAUCGAGUGAAAGAAACCAGAAUCAACAUUCUCCUCGAUCAAUACGAAGCAUUCAAAAUGAAAUCAGGAGAAUCUAUAACUAACAUGUUUAGUCGUUUUACAGAAAUCGUGAAUGGUCUUGAAAAUCAAGGUUAACCAAUUUCUGAUCACAUGAAAGUAAACAAGCUACUGCGUGGACUCUCCAAGGAUUGAAAUCACAUAAAGACCUCAAUAAGGGAGACACAAAGAAUUAUGCCACUAUCUAUCGAUGAGUUGGUUGAGACUCUUCAGUCUUAUGAAGUGGAACGAAUCAAUGAAGACGAAGAUCCUAAAGGUAAGAAAUCCAUUGCAUUAAAAUCCAAUGAUGAUUCUGAUGUUACAGAUUCUAAAGACGAUAUGGAUGAUGAGGAGCUUGCUCUCAUGAUAAGAAGAUUCAGAAAGCUGAACAGAAAAGGAAGAAGAUUCAAUCCAAAGAAACAAAGUUUUCAAAAGCAACAAACUAAGUCCGUUGAGGAUGAUGAAUCAAAUAGAGAUGUAGUCUGCUUUGAAUGUAAGAAAAAUGGACACAUCAGACCCAACUGUCCUCUUCUGAGGAAGAAGAAAGGAAAAGUUGAAAAGUAUCAAAAUGCUCUUAAAGCAGAAACCUGGAGUGAUACAGAAUGUGAAGAAAGUGAUGAUGAUUAUGCCAAUUGUCUGGUGGCACAAUCGGAUUCAGAUUCAAACUCCGAGACAAACUCAGAUUCAGACAGUGAAGUUGAGGUGAGUAACUCUAAAAUCCCUAUUAAAGUUUCUAAAUACAUUGAUGAGUUGUGUUUUAGUCUUAAGACUUCUCUUAAAAGGAUUUCCGAACUUAAAAAGGAAAAUUCUGCAUUGAAACAACAGGAAAAUGUUUUGAAAGAAAAUGUGAAAUGUUUAGACAUGAAUGUUUCUACUCUUAAAGAAAGAGAAGACAACCUUUCGAAAGAAAAUGUAUUUUUAAAAAAUGACAUAUCAAAUAUUUUCAAAAGAUUUUCAAUAGGAUCUGAGAAACUUGAGAAAAUUCUUUCAGCAUAAAGACCUUAUUUCAAUAAAUCUGGUUUGGGAAUGACUGUGGAAACCAUUCCUUUAAUUGAUUUUCCUAAAGUGAAGGAAAGAAUUAAGCAAAGACCCAUAAGAGAUGCUUACAAAAAUCAUUUUAAAAAGGUCUUUGUAAAACCAAUAGGUCAGAAUGCUCUCAGAUGUUCAAAGUGCAAUAGUUCAAAUCAUUUUGAGAAAGAAUGUCCUAUGGUUUGGAAACCUGUUAAGAAAGUAUGGGCAAAAACCGCAUAUCAUACUAACACCAAUGGACCCAAGAAAAUAUAUGUACCAAAGAAAGUUUGAGUCUCUUUUUUAAAUGCAGGUCACUAUCAAGAAGAAGGUAAAAUGGUAUCUGGAUAGUGGAUGCUCAAGACAUAUGGCAGGAGAUUCAAAUUGUUUCAUAAAGCUCAUUCACGUAAAUGGUGGAAAAGUCUCAUUUGGAGGAAACAACAAAGGAAGAAUUGUGGGAUUCGGAACUGUAAAUAUUGGAAACCUCACAAUCAGCAAUGUUUCCUUAGUGGAAGGACUCAACUACAAUCUGCUCAGUAUCAGUCAGCUGUGCGAUACCGGUUUCAAAAUCAACUUUCAAGAAGGAAUAUGUUCAGGAACCAGUAAAGAUUCUACUAAGUCAUUCAUGGGUUGAAGACAUGGAAAUAUCUACCUCUUGGACGUGAAACCAAAUGAAUCGCAAUGUCUAAUCUCAAUUCAAGAUGAAGUGAACUUAUGGCACAUAAUACUUGGGCACAUCAAUAUGAAGCAAAUAGCCAAAAUUUCAGCAAAGAAGCUAGUUCGUGAUAUACCCAAUCUGUCAUACCAAAAGUCUGAUCUAUGUACACCAUGUGUAUUGGGAAAGCAUGUAAGAAAUUCCUUUAAACCAAUAAAUCAAGUUUCCACUAAUCGUGUACUGCAGCUUCUACAUAUGGAUCUCUUUGAAUCAACCAGAACUCAGAGCAUUAGAGGUAAUAAAUAUUGCCUAGUAAUUGUGGAUGACUACUCACGAUUUACUUGGGUAUAUUUCCUGACAAGUAAGUCUGAAACAUUUUCUUACUUUGAAAAGUUUGCUAAAAAGAUUCAAAAUGAAAAAUGGUAUGUUAUUUCAAGUAUAAGAACAUACCAUGGAGGUGAAUUUGAAAAUCAGGAUUUUACAAAAUUUUGUGAUAAAUUUGGUUUUCAACAUGUGUUCUCCUCUCCAUAUACUUCAGAGCAAAACGGAGUUGUGGAAAGAAAGAAUAGGUCGCUUCAAGAAAUGGCUAGAACUCUUUUAAUUGAAAGUAACAUCUCUUCACGUUUUUGGGCUGAAGCAGUUUCUAUAGUAUGUUAUAUUAUUAAUGGAGUUUUUCUAAGACCUAUUAUGGAAAAAACCCCCUAUGAGUUAUUCAAAGGAAAGAAGCCUAUUGUUUCAUAUUUUCAUGUGUUUGGAUGUAAAUGCUUUAUAUUGAAAAAUACAAAUGAUCGAGUUGGCAAGUUUGAAGAAAAAUCAGAUGAAGGCAUCUUCCUUGGAUAUUCUACCUCAAGCAAAGCCUACAGAGUCUACAACAAGAAGACUCAAUCUGUGGAGGAAUCAAUGAAUGUCAAAUUCCAAGAUUCUAUGCAAAAUGAAUCUAUUCAAACUCAUCUUGAAGAAUCUGAACUUGCUCCAGACUCUACAAAGUCUAAAUCUCAAGAAGCAGUUCAAACUUCGAAAGACUAGCAUCAAAUGAUUGUUGAAUAUUCAAAUGAAGAAAGUGAUCAUCAACCUGACAAAUCAACCGGUAACUGGAAGCAUAAGUCCAGUCAUCCCAAAGAUCUCAUUAUAGGCGACAUUAAUGAAGGAAUUCGCACAAGAUCCAAAAUGCGCGAAGAGUCUAGUGCUGUGGCUCUUAUUUCUGAAAUAGAACCCAAAAGCAUAGAAGAAGCUUUAUCUGAUGAAAGCUGGAUUGAAGCCAUGCAAGAAGAACUCAGGCAAUUCAGUAUUAAUGAUGUCUGGGAAUUGACUCCUAAACCGAAAGGUAAAUCUAUUAUUGGAGCUAAAUGGGUUUUCAGGAACAAGAUGGACGAGAAAGGAAAGGUCAUAAGAAACAAAGUAAGACUCGUGGCCAAGGGAUAUACGCAAGAAGAAGGGAUAGACUAUGAUGAGACUUACGCACCAAUAGCGAGGUUAGAAGCAAUUAGAUUAUUACUUGCUUUUGCUUGCUAUAAGAAUUUCAGGUUAUUCCAAAUGUACGUCAAAAGUGCUUUCCUGAAUGGAUUUAUCCAUGAGGAAGUCUAUGUGGAACAACCACCUGGGUUUGAAGACCCAAGGAAACCGGACUCAAUAUUCAGAUUGAAAAAGGCUUUAUAUGGUUUAAAGCAAGCACCUCGAGCUUGGUACGACAGGCUGAGUAAAUUUUUAAUUCAAAACGGUUUUGUCAAAGGUAAAGUAGACACUACUCUAUUUAUCAAAAGAGAAAGCAAAAGUUUUCUGCUUGUUCAAAUAUAUGUUGAUGAUAUUAUUUUUGGAUCCUCUUAUCAAAGUCUGUGCAAGAAAUUCUCUAAGUCUAUGCAGGAUGAAUUUGAAAUGAGCAUGAUGGGUGAACUAACCUUCUUUCUUGGACUUCAAGUGAAACAAUUGAAUAAAGGAACCUUUAUUCAUCAAGAAAAAUAUGCUAAUGAUCUUGUCAAAAAGUUUGGACUGGAAAAUUGCAAAAAGACUGAUAUACCAAUGUCAAGUUCUUUAAAGAUAGACAAAGAUGAAGGAGGAAAGAAGGUUGACCAGAAGCUAUACAGGAGUAUCAUUGGUUCACUUCUUUAUCUUACUAUUUCUAGACCUGACAUUUUGUUUAGUGUUUGCAUUUGUGCUAGAUUUCAAGCAGACCCUAAAGAAUCUCAUCUAAGUGCUGCAAAGCGUAUUAUCAAAUACAUUGCAUCAACUUCAAGCCUUGGUCUUUGGUAUCCUAAAAAGGGAGACUUUACUUUUCUUGGAUACUCAGAUGCAGAUCUAGCCGGAUGCAGAGUUGAUAGAAAGAGCACCUUGGGUAUCUGUCAACUACUUGGAAGCAGGACAGUGUCUUGGUUUUCAAGGAAGCAAAAUAUAGUGGCUCUUUCUACAGCAGAAGCAGAGUAUGUAGCUCUUGGAAGUUGUUGUUCACAAAUUCUGUGGAUAAAACAAUAGCUAAGAGACUUUGGAAUUGAAGAUUCAUGCACGGAGAUUAACUGUGACAACACCAGCGCAAUCAAUCUCACCAAUAAUCCAAUUCUUCACUCAAGAGCAAAGCAUAUAGAGAUUCGACAUCACUUCAUUAGAGAUCAUGUUCAGAAUGGAGAAGUUUCGAUUCAGUUUGUUGACUCAAAGAACCAACUGGCGGAUAUAUUUACAAAGCCGUUGGAGAAAAAUCAAUUUGAAAUCAUUCGUUCCAGACUCAACAUCUUGAGGUUUGAAGAAGUAAAAAUCUAGAGACUCUCAGACUCAGACAAUCAAGAUCGUUGAUUGUAAGUUAUUUUAUUCUCUCUCAGAUUAAAUCUUGAAAAGGUACGAUCAUAUGUCCAUAAUUGAUUUUUGCUACUUUCAAUUUCCGUGAUUAGUGCAAUCUUUCUUUUUCGAAAAUGGAGUUAAUUUUUAAAUGGCAGUUAUCUAUUUUUUUUGAAAAAGGCAGUUAUUUUUUAAAAGGGCAUCUUUUUACUUUUCAUUACGACGUUUUGUAUGCCUCUCUUCGACUGACCUAUAUACUGUUGGUUUCUCUUCGUUUAACUCCAAAAACUCUAAAAAGCAUCGAUCUUCCACUUCUGUCUUCUUCUCUUGUUUAAUCUUCGAAAAGUUGUCAUUUUUCUUGGGAAAGUCAAGUUUGGAAUCUUUCAAAGACUGUGAAAGAUGUCGUCUCAAAGGAAGUCUUCGAGGAUCGCGAACAGGGGACCGCAGCAAAUGCGUGAGGGGCCUACGCACUUUGAUCUCACCAAGGAAGAAGAGUCUCCUAGUCAGUAGCAGAGCCCACGACAUUCUCAGCAGCGUCCAUCUUCUCCAUCUAGACCACAGGAUGUUGCUCGUCGAGAAGAGGAAUAAAUAAUUGAAGAUGCAGAAUCGUAAGAACUUUUAAGCCCUCUUUUACCUACAAGCUUUAUCGUGCUUUGAAAAGGGGUGGAACUCCUUUGAAUUACAUUGAUGAAUUUCUGAAAGACAAAGGGUACAAAAAUGAAACCUUUUUUUUUUACGCACAAUGGAACGGUUGGGAAUUGCCCUUGCUGGGUUGGCAGAAGAGGCAAUGUCAAAUAUUCCAAUCGAUCCACGUGUUGGAGGGCUGAAUCAGCCAGAUGGGAAUGAUGAUGACAAGUUGUACAGUCAGUUUCAACCGAGAAUGGGUGUUGUGGCAAAAAUUUGGAGCAAAAGGACAGACUUGUUUCGAUCGGAGGAACACAAGCAUCUAUACUCUAAGUUGUUGAAGCGUGGGGUCAUAAACCCUAGAAGUGUGGAUUUUGAUUUCCUUGACGCUGUGAACGUUAAUUUGAGGGAAAAAUUCAGUCUUCUUCAACUUGAACAGUUCUGUUCUGAAUCUACAGAAGCCUAUGCUGAACUCACUACAUACUUCUAUUCAAAUCUCAGUUUCUUAGAUGCGAAUAGAUUCUCUUUUAGUGUCCGAGAUCAGGACUAUGUGGUGGAUGUAGAUAUGUUGGCUGAUGUGAUUGGGGUUGAGAGAGGGAGAUAUCAACCUAUAAAUGUCUCUAUUGCUCGUGCUACGUUAGAACUUGUUAAGGAUAGAAGGAUAGAGGGAAAGGUUUCCUACUCGAGGAUGAGUGCGUUCAACAUUCUACUUCACAAGAUUGUGAUCAAUUGCCUCAGACCAAAAUCUACUUCAAAGACUGAUGUUUCAAACUCAGAGGCAAAACUGAUGUAUGCCAUCAAUGCUGGGAAAAAGUUCUCUCUUCCUCAUACUAUUAUAUUACACAUGUAUAGAGCAGUGGUGAAAGACAAGGGUCAAAUUCCUUAUCCAGCUCUUGUGACAAAGUUAUUUAGACAUUUGAAUGUUUAGCCUCCCCGGAUUCUCUGUGUUCGAAUUUGUGAUCAAAUGGUAGUGGGACUGAAAAUGGUAUCUAAAAUGCAUCUGAAGGAACUCAACAAGGCGUUGGAGAAAUUUAAGGAGAAAACCCCUGUCAAAACUCAUCAAAUCUCUUUGGCAACAAAAAGAAAAGGGAAGGAGCCCAUGGUUGCUCCAUCCAAGAAAAGAAGAGCUCUCAUUGUUGAGGAUGAAGAAGAUGAGGAAGACAUCACCAUUACUGCAAUGGCAUUGAAGAACCUGAGUUGUUCUGUUCCAGAAUCAACGGAACGACAAGAGAAAGACACAGAACAGAGGACUGGAGAAAGAGAAGAUUUGGAAGCAGAAGAGAAAGAAACAUAGGAGAGAGAAGCUGAAGAAAGAGAUGCGGAGGAUGAAAGAAUUAAAGAAGAAGAAGAAGAAGAGGAAAAAGAAGAUCAAGAGGAAGGAGAGCAUGAGGAACACUCUUCUCCUCCUGAAGGCAUGGAAACAAGGGGAGAUUGUGAGAAAAGAGGAAUAUCCUCAUAUCCUACUACCAGUGAAGGAGUCAGCCGCUCUCCAGCAGAUCUAGAGGACAUCUAUGUCUCUCAAUUUCCUGAGGAGGGACAUGAUGUUUCAUUGCCCAAUCUGCGUGACUAUGCUGAUUUGCCAUCAUCUGCCUUUACUCCAUUUGAUCGUGCAGAAGCUAGUACGCAGACUGAUAAUUCAGCAGAUUUUCACAGAAUUCUUGAUGUUCUCUUAGAAAUGCGGGGUCGGAUAUAUGCUCUGGGAUGCGAAGUACAGAAUUUGCAGACUGCAAAUCAAGCUUCUUCAGUUUCUUUGGAUGAUCAGAUCCAAGCCCUUACUCUUCAGAUUCAAGCAAAUGCUAAGGGUGAAGAGGUGGCUCAACUGAAGGAAGAGUUGACAAAGCUGGAAGGCAUUGUCCAGUCAAUGGGAGAUUUUCAGCUUGUUCGUGUUCCCAAGCAUUCUUGAUUCCAUCUCAACCUUUUUUAUGAUGACAAAAAGGGGGAGAGAUGUGAUUUGAACUUUGAACCUUGAACUUUUUUGAACUUGAUCUUGAACUUUUGAUUUGUUUUGAUGUUUGACUUGACUUUUGUGUCUGGCUGUGGACUAGAUUUGGGAUUUUGGAUUGACUGCUUAUAUUAAGUACUAUUGAUAUCUUAUGGAUGGCUUUACUCAUAUGCAAGACUAACCUAUUUUCUGUGGUUACAGAUUUUAGUGUUAUCAAUAAACCAUUUAUCUUUAUGAGAUAUCCAUAUUUGCUUGAGUAAUAUUUUGCAGGUCAAAGUUAUCCAAACUGUAGGAAAGUUUUGUCACCAUAAAAAAGGGGGAGAUUGUUGGAGAAAUCUUCCUGGAGUAUUUUGAAGCUGACAAAAUGUUUCCAUCAGUCUAGUCUGAAGAUUUGUAGACUCUACUAUUUAAAGUCUGAAGACCUCCGGACUACCAGACACAAGACUCAAAGUCUAUUCUCAUUGACAGUUUCUAAUCCAUCGAAGAAGGGCUAUCCAAGACUGGAUGUUUCGUUAAGGAUUUGACCUUAUUGACUAGAGAAGAUUUCUUGGCUGGAUAUGACAUAACAGAAUCCUUUAUUGACUCAAAGAUUGAGGAUCCGAUGAUUGGCGGAGUAUACUUGGAAGGUUCUAUUUAUGGAAACUGAGAUCCUGAUUGUAUGGGCAAGCAGAAUUGAUGGGCUAUCGACAUGUUUCUUAAAUAGCUCGAAUGAUCUUCCUAAUUGAUUCUGUCCAACGGGAAGAUUGGAAGAAUUCCUUUGGUAAGUGCCAAUGGAUAUGAUGGCAUAAAGGAGUAUAUAAGGAAGACGUUCCAGUUGUUCAAGUAUGUGUGCGAUAGAAGAAUUCCAAAGUCUGAAGCUCUUUGUUCUUAGUCAAUUCAUUUUCUGAGCGAAAUCUUGUACGCAAAAGAGAGUCCAUAUUCUUAAGAAACCUUGAGGAAGUGUGGUAGAGUAUCUACACUGUGGAAUCAAGGGAAAGCCUUGCUGUAACAACUAUUUUGUUCAUAGUGAAAUCUAACCAGUGGGCUGUCAGUGCGAAAGAGUGGACGUAGGCUUGGAAUAAGCCGAACCACUAUAAUUUCUGUGUUCAUUUUCUCUUCCCUACUCUCUGUUUUACUUUGAUCAUAAUUCGCUUCGUUAACGAAAGGAGAACUUCCUUUCUAUUGUCUGCUUAGUAUUGCUCUCUUAUCUCGAGAAAAUAUUUUUACACCUAUUCAUUCUCCCUCUAGGUGCUUGUACUAGCUAUCUCACUAUAAUCCACCAAAAAGAGAAAAGAGAUAUACGUUUAAAACUUAGAUGAUCCAACCACUAGUAAGGAUCAUUUGCAUCACUUCCUUAAACUAUACCAAAAACAAAAUAGAACUCCCCAAAAGUUUCCCACGACAGUGAACUCGCUCUAUUUGCCGCUAGCUGAGGAACCUAAAAAGAUCAAAGGAGGAAUAGGAUGAGCAACCAUAGCUCAGUGAGUAGUACAUAUCUUCUAAACAGAUCGAACAAUCACUAUGCAUAUAUACAAAGCAAUACCAAACUUCAUAACGCCAGCUCAAUAUAUAAAAUACGUAUUGAAUCUUAUAAGAGUUAUUUCUUAUCAUCAAAUAUUUAUAGUAAUAUGGAAAACUCAUUUGAAUCACCAUCAAAAGUCAAGUAUCAAUGGUUGAAUCCAUUGAAUAAUCUCCAUCAAAAACACAUAUCAAUGGCCUAUCCAUUGAUUAAUCUUUUGCUCAAUAACUAACCAUGGUCACGACACAACGCCUUGUGACAAGGCAACCAAGAUUCUCCCUUUGGCAAGGUUUCCACCUACAAAGCCGGUGGCUGAGCCCAGAAGGAUAUCAUAAACCUGGUAUGUAUACCCCAAAUUGAGCAUAAAUAACCAUUCUCCAAUACCAGAAAUCCAAUCCAAAAAUCAAUAUCUUAAACCAAACAAAUAACAUUUUGCAACAUAGCCCAUCAUCCAUUUCAUACUCAUUUCUCAAAUCAUUAAAUCUUUCCAUAAAUCAGUUGCAAAGCAAUUUCAUAUAUGUUUCUUCACAAACCUUGUAUAACGUGCUUUUCAAAGAUUCACAAUCAACCAAAGGGUAGCAAUUGUUCGAUCUGGCUUUUAUGCAAUAAAAAUGCUCUUCUCAAUUCAAUACAUAUACAUAUACAUAUAUAUAUAUACUUCAAGACAUGAUUUUAUAAAACCAAAGAAAAUAUAGUACUACUCACCUUGUCGUCUAUGACCAAACGACAAAUGAUACUUGCAUCGUCGAACUCAAGGCCCUAUCAAAUAACCGAAGAAUAAUGUUAAAAUCUAAUAAAAUUUUAUCUCGACUACAAAAUGACUAAGUUACACCUUAACUCUAACAAAAGGACUUCUGCGUGCUAACAAGUUGCAUAACCAAAGCGAUUGUUCAAGCCAUUCGCAACAUGAAGUUUAAGCGCAAAACUUGAUCGAGCCUUAACUCUCUCUUCCAAACCCCGAUCCAAACGUACUUAUAGUCAAUAGAGAGCCCUUGACACAUAUUGCAAGAAUCUCAACUUCACCGUCCCAAAAUCAAGCCAAAAAAUGACAAAAUACGGGCCAAAGCUGCUGGACGCGUACUGUUCACUGCGCACGGAAAACUUUGAAAUUUUGUUUCGGACAAACCAUAAGCUCAAAUCAUGAUCCGUAAAAUCUCACGGCUCCACAACACCCUAAACUACCAUUUCUACAAAAAUAUGCGGCUCAACGACUCUAAAAUCAGAUUUCGCCGCUCAAUUUUCCAAAAAUUUCGAAUUUGAGUCCCAAAUUCAAAAAUUACUUCAAUUGGAUGAACGAGGGACUCGAUCUCUUACCGGAUGCUGCGUUAUGGAGUCGAGUCGGCUUGGUGAGGUAUCCGAGGCGUGCACAUGCCAAAACUCCUUUCCUUUCUUCCCCUUUCUCUUCUUCUUCUUCUUCUUCUUCUUCUUCUUCUUCUUCUUCUUCUUCUUCUUUUCUUUCUUUUCUUUUUGGUCGAGGAAACUCUCAGCUUCUAUUUAGCCGAGCCCUCUCCCAUCUCUUUUUUCUUUUUUCUUUUUUAUUGCGUUUUUAGCUUUUCGACUUCUUUUUCCGUUUCUUCUUUUGGGGCCUUUAAAACUUCUUUUUCUGUUUCUUCUUUUGGGGCCCACUAGCCUAAUGUUACAUGGCCCAUCAGGCAUCGGGUUUGAAGAGUAGGUUAUUAGGAUCUUGAGUUCUUUCCUUGAUAUCUUGAGUCCUGAAUAUGGGAAUGGUGUUGGUGGUGGUGGAAGUCAAAUCAGAUUCUAGAAAAUGUUGAGUCCUUUCAAGUGGCGGAAAUUUAUUUCCAAAAUCUGAGUGAAGAUUUCUAAUGGAUUAAAAAAAUUCUAUAUUAAAUCAUGUUUCUAAACAACGUCAAAAGGCAAAAGAUGAAGCAGGUAUUUUACCAGCUAAUUUCCGACAAGACAAACGGCUCAAACGUAAUUCAUUAUGCAGAAGCUCCCUGAGACAAAAGGAUCACUUGAUUUUUUAUGGUUCGUUCUCAAAGCAGAUAUGUUCCAGACUUUUUACAAAGAUCAAUUGAUCAAGCGUAUUGGGAAAGUGAGCUUCAAUGAGCUUUAGAGUUUUGACCAUUGAAAAGGGGAAUUUUUUUUUUUGGUAAGGUUGAAAAGGGGAAUUUUUCUAUAUCAAUCAUCUUGAAGUUGGCAUAGGGUGUUUCUAUCAGUUACUCAAAUCUCUUUUAGCUAUUGUUGAAGCAAGCGUCAUUUGACUUGAUUGGUCGAAUUAGGCGGAAUCCACACGUGUAAUCACCUCACCUUCGUGUUCUUUUGGACUUACCCAAUGAAGCACAUAUUUCUAUUUCUCCAGCAAUUAUCUAAUGCACAUGGUGUCACACCUUAAAACUACAAAGAAUGGGGAUGACACGGUCGUCCUUCUUUACAAAGGACGCAGCCUCAAACACAACCAACAGACUGAUAUUAACUUAUAUAUCUCAAACCAUAUAUUUAUCAGAUAAACCAACAAAUUGGUUGCAACAUCAGAGUCUCUAUAAUCCACCAAAAAGAGAAAAUAGAUAUACGUUUAAAACUCAGACGAUCCAACUACUAGUAAGUAUCAUUUGCACCACUUCCUUAAACCAUAUCAAAAACAAAAUAGAACUCCCCAAAAGUUUCCUACUGAUGGCACACUCGCUCUAUUCGCCGCUAACUGAGGAACCUGAAAAGAUUAAAGGAGGAGUGGAAUGAACAACAAUAGCUCAGUGAGUAGUACAUAUCUUCUAAGCAGAUUGAACUACCACUAUACAUGUAUACAAAGCAAUACCAAACUUCAUAACGCCAACUCAAUAUAUAAAAUACAUAUUGAAUCUUAUAUGAGUUAUUUCUUAUCAUCAAAGUUUUAUACUAAUAUGGAAAACUCAUUUAAAUCGCCAUCAAAAGUCAAGUAUCAAUGGUUGAAUCCAUUGAAUAAUCUCCAUCAAAAACACAUAUCAAUGGUCUAUCCAUUGAUCAAUCUUUUGCUCAAUAACUAACCAUGGUCACGACACAACGUCUUGUGACAAGGCGACCAAUAUUCUCCCAUUGGCAAGGUCUCCACCUACAAAACUGAUGGUUGGGCCUAGAAGGAUAUUCUAAACUUGGUAUGCAUACCCCAAAAACCCCUCACUGGGUUCACAAUUAUAUUGAGCAUAAAUAACCAUUCUCCAAUACUAGAAAUCAAAUCCAGAAAUCGAUAUCUUAAACCAAAUAAAUAACAUUUUGCAACAUAGCCCAUCAUCCAUUUCAUAUCCGUUUCUCAAAUCAUCAUAAACAUUUUCAUAAAUUAGUCACAAAGCAAUUUCAUAUAUGUUUCUCCAGAAACCUUGUAUAACAUGCUUUUCAAACAUUCACAAUCAACCAAAGAGUAGCAAUUGUUCGAUAUGGCUUUUUAUGUAAUAAAAAUGCUCUUCUUGAUUCAAUAUAUAUACAUACAUACUUCAAGACACGAUUUUAUAAUACCAAAGAAGAUAUAAUACCACUCACCUCGUCGUCUACGACCAAACGACAAACGAUACUUGUAUCGUCGAACUCAUGGCCCUAUCAAAUAACUGAAGAAUAAUGUUAAAAUAUAAUAAAAUUCUAUCUCGACUACAAAAUGACUAAAUUAUGCCUUAACUCUAACAAAAGGACUUCUACGCGCUAACAAAUCGCAUAACCAAAGCGAUUGUUCAAGCCAUUCGCAACACGGAGUUUAAGCACAAAACUUGAUCGCGCCUUAACUUUCUCCUUCGAAUCCUAAUCCGAACAUAUUUAUAGUGAAUAGAGAGCCCUUGACACAUAUUACAAGAAUCCCAACUUGACUGUCCCAAAAUCAAGCCGAAAAAUGACAAAAUAUGGGCCCGAAGCUGCUGGAUGCGUACUGUUCACUCGCGCGGGAAACUUUGAAAUUUUGUUUCGGACAAACCAUAAGCUCAAUCACGAUCCAUAAAAUCCCAUGGCUCCACAACACUCUAAACUUCAAUUCCUACAAAAAUACACGGCUUAGCGACUCCAAAAUUAGACUUCGCGCUCGAUUUUCCAAAAAUUGAAUUUGAGCCCUAAAUCCAAAAAUUACUUCAAUUGGACGAACGAGGGGCCUAAUCUCUUACCAGGUGCUGCGUUAUGGAGUCGAGUUGGCUUGGCGAGGCGUCUGAGGCGUGCACGUGCCAAAACCCCUUUCCUUCCUUCCCCUUUCUUUUCUUCUUCUUCUUCUUCUUCUUCUUCUUCUUCUUUUCUUUAUGGUCGAGGGCCCUCGAGGGCCCUCAGCUUCUAUUUAACCAAACCCUCUCCCCUCUCCUUUUUGCUUUAUCGGCUUUUUAGCUUCUUUUUCUAUUUCUUCUCUUGGGGCCCACUAACAUAAUAUUACACAUGGGAUGGGGGUACUAACACAUCUAAUAGGGAUGGGAUUAGUUGGGCACGCAAAAAGUCCUAGAAAUCCAUUGCUACAACAAAAGAAUUCGAGGAAUUUGAAACAAGUGACUUUUCCUUUGUCUAGCUUGAAGAGAGAUUCUUCUAUGCCUCAUGAAUGUGACAUUCCUAUUCAUCAAAAUCAAUCACCACAUGUUGAUUAUUGUAAAUUGCCUUAUUUUCUUUUAAAAUUAAAAAAAAAUUGCAUAGACAAUGACUAGAUUGAUUGGUCAGAUCAUCGUUAAAUUGCUUCCUCAAUAGGUGCAUUGAUUGUUGAUCCUAAACUAAACUUAAGAGCUUACACUUCUUUGUGCACACAAAGUUUCAAUCUCUUAUGAACUUGAUAAUAAUGGUCAUAGAACUAUAAAGUUUUUUUUUUAAUUGAGAGGUGUUGAAAAUAAUAGUCACCAACAACAGUAGGCACAUCAAAAGAAGUCUCUAUGGGAAGGUUACACCAUUGUUCCAAAUUCUAAUCUUGAUUAAUGAUGUGACAUCUUCAUUGGGUCUUGAAGUGUCUGUUUAAUUCUCUUUGCUCCAUAGCUAGCAUAUACUAAUUCAAUUUGGAUCAACCGGUUUUACGACUAGAGUGCAAAACGGAAAGAUGAAAUAUAGAUGCCCCUCGGAGAUACCCUAAUUAUAAAUUUCCAAUCAUAACAUUAGGCAAGAUAAAAAUUUGCCAAAUUGAUUGUGACAACCUCUAUAGGGAAUAGAUAAAAAUGCCCUAAUUGUGCACACGACAAAAUGAUUGCCCCCAUCACUAGACAUGGACGGCCCAAUGUUUUACAAUAUUUUACCAGCUAAUUUCCAGCAAGACAAACGGCUCAAACGUAAUUCAUUGUGCAGAAGCUCCCCGAGAUAAAGGGAUCACUUGAUUUUUUCUGGUCCGUUCUCAAAGCAGAUCUGUUCCAGACAAUCAAUUGAAUAUCCACGUAAUUAAGUGAAAUAGUGGCUUUUGUCUCAAUUUUACUGGUUUUCCUAAAUUAUCCAUAUAUGAAAUAUUAAAGAGUAAAAAAAAGAUAUAAAUUACAUUUUUGAUAAUAUCCCACCUUCAUUUGGUUCCUCCCGUAACUAUCCAUUUGCACCUACUCUUAUAUUGACUGACAAGAAAGUUAUGUUGUACCAAAAAGCACCAUCUCUUUAACCCACUGUCUGCACCUUUGACAGUCACAUGGAAUUCUCUUCUAUGAUCUCCGCUUCUUAUCAUCAUUCUCUUAUUAUUUUUAACGACGAAAUUCACUCUAUGACUGAAAUUUUAUCAACUUACAAAUAUUACUCAUGUAUAUUACAAAAUUCAAAUUAAAAUAAGCAUCACGAUUAUUAAGCCCGCGCACGCACGGUGCGUACAAACAAUCACCCAAUUCCAUGCACAUACAUAGCUCCUUUUUAAGCCAAAGAGAAGAGAGAAUCACUUGCAUCUUGAUUGAGUUGUUGUUACGAUACACGGACGCGUAAGCUCUAUGCUUUUCUCGUUAUGAAGGUUGAACUUCCUUAAAAGAUUACAUUAUCAUCUUCUGGUUUAGGUACUUAUUAUUGCCCUAUUGGUGAAUUAGCUGAUGCUUUUCUCCGCGUCGUCAGGAUAUAAUAUGCACAUAUUAACGUCAUGACAGGGACAACUGAUUUGUCUCCAAUCCGGCGACUUCCAUAUCGCUGAACUUGGACGUGAACUUUGGCACCCUUACAGUAGUUGUUGGAAUAGUCUAAUGACAAGAACCUGGAUUGGUCCGAAUUGAUUGAUUUGGCUUCUCUAGGAGCCAGCCCUUGAAUUAAAGUCUAUCAACCCCAGGCGUAGACUUAUAUUAGUCGAUCCAAGCUGAAAUUGAAGUGUCCCGUUCAUAGAUUGCAUUAGCAUGUCGGGACUCCAACAGCCGGCGAUUAGCUGGAUUCCUAAGAAAGAUCCAGCAGCAUAUUGUGACUGGUUGAUAAUGGCUCAAGGAAUUUCCAAACAAAAGCAAAGCAUAUGAUGGGCCAUUUGUCUCUUGGGGAUUGGACAUUGCUGAUUUUUUUUUUCUAAGAUCUUUAUGUUGGAGAUUUCGAAGUCGUUAAUUUUCAGAAUAUGUGUUUAGCAUUUCUUAAUUCAACUUUUCAAAUAAGCUAAAAGUCAUUUUGAGACCUUUGUAUUUCCAAACUAUUUUUUGAGAUCCAAGUUUAGCGCACAUCGAAUUAUCCAUAUCUAUAGACCUUGAUCCUUGUGCCAAGAACCAAGGAGAGUGGCGUAUUAGCUGUGGACUAGGAUCCUUAUGUGGAUGAUCCAGGGUCAAUUUACACAUCCAUGUAUUGGAAUCUCUAGGCUCCCGAGAUUAUAUAUGAGGCACUAAGUAGGACACCGAGGUCUCGUCUUGCCUUGUUGUCUAGUGGCGUGUGUUGGGGUCUCAGGUUCAAGGCACUGACGUUCUUAAUCCAAGAGGUCUUGAGACUAAGCAUUGAAGUCUCGAAUUUGAUCCAUAAGGGCGUGUUUGGUAACGUUUCUGUUGCCCGGAACAAUUUCUAAGCAUUUUAAGCUGUUUGGUAACUGUCCAAAAUUUCAAUUCUCAGAAUAGAAUUGCGUUUAGUAUAGUGCUCAAAAUUUCUACUCCAAAUCAUUUUCUUUUAAUUUUAAAUUUUUUUAAAUUUUUUUUCCUUUUUUCUUCUUUUCUUUUUUCCCUUUCUUUCUCAUAUUCUUCUUCUUCAAGUGGCCAAUUGUCAACAGGUUGGUCGGCGACUGGCUAGACGAGAGUUGGCAACCUCACCGGAGCGUUGCCAACCCUUGGCGAGGACGGCCAUUGUCGGCCGAGCCUCGCUGGCAGCUGGGCAAGGCUCGGCCGAGCCUCAGCGGGGCUGGGGGAGGCCUGCUUGGCCACCGACGAGGCUCGCCCAGCCCCUUCGAGCCUCAUCGAACUAGUUGCUGGUGAUUGGCGACGGUGGGCGGCGGAUGGCGAACGGCAACCACGACGGUGGCAGUAGAUGAAGAAGAAGAAAAGGGAAGAAGAACAAGAAAAAAGAAAAAAAAAAGAGAAAUUGAUUUUAGAAUUGUUCCCAAGAACAAUAAUCAACCUUUUUUAUUUUUAUUUUUAUUUAUUCUUGAUUCUGUUCCAAAUCUACUUUUGGGAACAAAAAAAUAGAAAUUUGUUUCCGAGAAUAAAAUUUUUACUAAACACGAUUCUAUUCCAAAAUUGCUCAUGGGAACAAAAGAAUAGAAAUUUUUACUAUUUGGCCAGUUAGGGUCUGUUUGGUAACCAUCCCAACAGUGCCAAAUUCUGAUUCUUUGUUCCCGGAAUCAGUUUCGGCCUAGAAUCGCGUUUGGUAAAUUUUUUGUUCCCGGGAACAGAUUGGGAAUAGAAUCAAGAAUAAAAAAAAAGUUUNNNNNNNNNNNNNNNNNNNNNNNNNNNNNNNNNNNNNNNNNNNNNNNNNNNNNNNNNNNNNNNNNNNNNNNNNNNNNNNNNNNNNNNNNNNNNNNNNNNNUCUUCAAGUGGCCAAUUGUCAACAGGUUGGUCGGUGACUGGCUAGACGAGAGUUGGCAACCUCACCGGAGCGUUGCCAACCCUUGGCGAGGACGGCCAUCGUUGGCCGAGCCUCGCUGGCAGCUGGGCAAGGCUCGGCCAAGCCUCAGCGGGGUUGGGGGAGGCCCGCUUGGCCACCGACGAGGCUCGCCUAGCCCUUUUGAGCCUCACUGAACUAGUUGCUAGUGAUUGGUGAUGGUGGGCGGCGGAUGGCGAACGGCAACCACGGCGGUGGCAGUAGAUGAAGAAGAAGAAAAGGGAAGAAGAACAAGAAAAUAAAAAGAGAAAUUGAUUUUAGAAUUGUUCCCAAGAACAAGAAUCAACCUUUUUUAUUUUUAUUUUUUUAUUCUUGAUUCUGUUCCAAAUCUACUUUCGGGAACAAAAACAUAGAAAUUUAUUUCUGAGAACAAAAUUUUUACUAAACACGAUUCUAUUCCAAAAUUGCUCAUGGGAACAAAAGAAUAUAAAUCGUUACCAAACGCGCCAUUAGCAAACAUGACCUAAGCAAGCACCCAAAGGUCAUGGGUCUGGGCAACUGGGACCUAAGUCCAACCACAAGGUUCUAUGUUUGGUAGCCAAAGUCUCAUCUCUUCAUGGAUUCAACGGUUUGAGUUUUGAGUUAAGAUGCUGAAGGCUUGGUUCAACCCUAGGUGCUAGGGACGGCGCUCAUUGUUCCCAAGUUGAUGACAUGGGAUGCAUGUUUUUAAAUAUUAUGAUUUUUAUUUAUUCUCUUGUCUUUCUUUAUUUUAGAAAUUAUUUUAGGAUACUGGAUGAUUUGUUUCAAUAGUUAUCAUUUACAUAUUUAAGAUAUCGUGGGAUAGAAUUUCUUAUUAGUUUACAUAUUUCCUAUUAUGAAAUUAGAAUUUCCUAAGUGUUUUAGAUAUAAAUAUGCAUUGUGUUUUUCUUGUAAUUUGGCUUAUUUAUUGAUGAAUAAAGGAAAAUUUUCAAAUGAGGGCAUAUGGUGCUCUCAUUUUCUCAAAUAAGUGCCCGAAGUAGCCGUUAUUUUAAAUAAGGGCUAGAAAAAAAAUGAAUUGACCAAAUUCUCUCGAAUAAGGACUUUUGGCUAGCCAUUGACUAUUCUGUCAUUGGAGAAAGGGUAUUUUAGUAAAAAAAAAAUUCUAAGUAUAUAUUUUUUAUUUUUCUCUCCUUGCCAUGCCUCAAGUGAGGGUUGCCUUUGCUGGCGUUGGGUGAGGGUGAAGGUUGCCCUUGUUAGCCCAAGUGAGGCGAUCCUUGCCCAAUGCUGGGGAGGAGGAGCCGUUGCUUGAGUCCAGCAACUUGAUGGAAAAUGGGGAAAAAAGAAAAAGAAAAUAACAAAAAAAAGAAAAAAAAAAAGGAAUUUUUGUAAAGAUGAAAAUGCCUUUCAAUCAGCAAGGUUAGCCUCUUCUUUGAGACCAAUAUGGCUACUUUAGGUAUUUAUAUGAAACAAUUUCACUUCAAGCUCUUAUUUGAGAAAAUUAUAGCACUUCAAGCCCUUAUUUAAAAUAAAGUCUACUUUAGGCCAUUAUAUGAGAGAAAAAAAAAAAGGAACACUUUAAGCCCUUAUUUGGAAUUUUCCCAUGAUUUAAUGGAAAAAUAGUGAGGUUUUCUUUGUAGCAUUUCGUGUAUGUGCAUCAAAAUGCAUAUCAUGAGUGUUUACUUGUGUUAAGGAAUUCCCAUAUAUGCUAUCACUCAUUUAGGUUAUGUUGGGCUAUCAUAGGUGUUGUCUAGGCAUCACUUGUCUAGCAGUAGUGCUUGUUCAACACUUGUUGCUCCAUAGCUUGCAUAUAAACUAAUUCGAUUUGGAUCACCAUUGGGUUUUUAUUUCUUAACCAUACCAAUUUGCUUCUUAAAUUCACCAAUUUAUCGAAAGGUUGAAAAAAUAAAAUCCAUGCCUAAUAAUUAGGGAAAAUAAAAGUUUAAUAUCAUCUCUGGUAGGAGCUGGAUUUAUAGUGCCACUAGUGAGCAAUUUCACCCAAAAGAACAUGUUUAAUUGAGAAACCUUGAACCGACACAAACAAGGAAAGGAUUACCCACAAAGGGCAAGACAGAAAAGGUGAAAUAUAGACUCCACCUUAAAAAAAAAAACCCAAUUAUAGAUUCACCAUCAUAGCAUCCAGCCAAAAGAUGGAAAAAGGAAGGAACCCCAUCGAUUGCGACAAUCACCAUCGGAAAAUAGAUAAGCUUCGCACAACUUGUGCACUCCACAAAAUGAUUGCGCCCAUCACAAGUUAUGGAGCGCCCCAAUGUCAACAUCUUUAGGGCUAGAACGGCUUAAUUGAUAAGAAAUCAUCUUGAUUAUCAUCAAGACAACGUUGGCCUAAGAAAUCGAGUCUGAUUGGGAUUUGGAAAAAAAAUGCAUAUAUUCGCGUCGAUAAUGAAAUUUUACGCGCGUGGGUAACAUUUUCAAUGGUGGGAUUGGUGUAGGUCUGCGCAUCCAGAAAUGAUUGUCACGACAAUGAGUCUUUAUCUUGAUAUUGAUUAAGUUUAACGAGUUUUUAUAAAGAGUCAAAUGAUUUUUUUUUUUUUUAAAGCAAAGGAUUAAUCAUUAUUUGAUGCCUAGGGGGCCGGCAAACACAGAGAACGAGGAGACAUCGCCAUAGAAAAAGUUGGUACCUUGAUUUGAUGGAUUUUUUCAUACUACGCACAUCAACCGUUCACGUACUCCAAAGGCGGGGCCUCUCAUGCUCCGAGUCAUGAAAUACCCACAAGAAUUUAUUUGCUUUGUCACUAUAUUAUUUAUCACCUAUGUAUGUAUUUAUGCAUCAACAUAGGUGAAAAUCAUCAUAUAUAAACCGAACCACUAUGAGUCAAAUCAUUUCAUACAUAUAUAUAUAUAUAUAUAUAUAUAUAUAUAUAUAUAUAAAGUAUGUUUGUUUUGUGAUUUUUGUUCUAUUAAGUUAAUGUAACAUGUACAAAAGGCGAUCGUCCGACGAGUUUGAGAUUUUACAAAACACAAGCUAAAUUGUUCCCUCUAGUCAAUUUCAAAAGAGUUGGAAUAUUGCAAACUUAACGAAUUUUUAUUUUCUUCGAAAAACAGAACACCAUUUGUCCGCACAACAAGAGGAGACAUUACCAAAUUUUGUGGACAUGCUUUGUCCGAGACCCAGCCCAUGUCCAGCAGCCCAGAUUGUGAUGGGUCCAGCCUGGACAGGCCCAUGGGGUGGCUGAUGGGCCUUGUCAAACACUAUUCAGUUGCUCUCCUAAGCUACAUAAACGAUCAACGAUAAAAUUCAAUGUCACAGGACAAGUUUCUGUCGGGCACAAUGCAAAUAAUGAGGUCCUAGAAUUAUAUAAUUGCUUUUGAGAUGCGAAGUUCUCAUUUAUCUAAAUCAAUCGUAGCAUGGCAAGUGUUACCAACUUCCUUAUCUUCUUUCAAGAUUAAUAAUAGUAUUUUUCCACAUGAUGAUCCACUUGGAUGGAUUGAAAUGUCAUACUUUGAGAGCACAUAAUUUUUUUUUUAGUAGAUAGAUAUUUUAUUCCUUCUCCUGUUUGCAUUCUAAUAUAAAAAUAUGAAUGCCGCUACCCAAUAUGCUUUCCACUUAAUGAUUGGAGCGUUGAUCUUGUUGUAAAUGCUAGAUCAUCAACUAGGCCGUCUUAAUAAAGAUUAGUUGAAGUUUGCUAUACUUAAGCUCUUUGUGAGGUGCCCAAAACGAGCUCCAAAUUGCAUAAAGACCUUCGACACGAGCCUGUAAUUUGAAGAGACAGUCGACGUGACCCCAAGUUUUGUAUAUUUGUAAUCUUAACGCAUGUAUGUUGUGGACCUACUUGGUCACAUCCCAUAUGCUUGGGUUCUGUCAUGUUCAAUUGGAUGUCACCAUAUCCAAGUUUGUCAUAGCUGUCGACCUAGACUAGGUAAGAACCACAUCAAUUUGCUUCAGUCGGUCGUGAGUAAAUUAUGAGCUGGGAUAAAUGCAAGUGAAUCUCAAGUGAUGCACUGGAGAAAAUAUUUGGAAAUGCCAUCGAACCUCACCUUUUGUCACUUCUAAGUAGUUAUUGAAUGAUCGGGAACGCCUUCUGUCACACCCGAAAACUACAAGAAUGGGGGAUGACACAGCCGUCUAUCCACACGAGGGACGUAGCCUCAAACACAACCAAUAAACUGAUAUCAACUUUUAUAUAUAUAUAUAUAUCUCAAUUAUAUAUAUACAUAUCAGCUAAAUCAAUAAAUUGGUUGCAACAUCAAAGUUUCUAUAAUCCACCAGAAAAGAUAUACGUUUAAAACUUAGACAAUACAACCACUAGCAAGGAUCAUAUGCACCACUUCCUUAAACCAUACCAAAGAAAAUAAAAAUAGGACUCCCUAAAAGUUUCCUACCAACGGCCCUCUCGCUCUAUACGCUGCUAACCGAGGAACUUGAAAAGAUUAAAGGAGGAGUGGGAUGAGCAACAACAGCUCAGUGAGUAGUACAUAUCUUCUAAGCAGAUCGAACAACCAUUAUGCAUGUAUAUAAAGUAAUACCAAACUUCAUAACGCCAACUCAAUAGAUAAAAUACAUAGCAAAUCUUAUAAGAGUUAUUUCUUAUCAUCAAAGCUUAAUAAUAAUAAUAUGGAAAACUCAUUUAAAUUGCCAUCAAAAGUCAAGUAUCAAUAGUUGAAUCCAUUGAAUAAUCUCCAUCAAAAACACAUAUCAAUGGUCUAUCCAUUCAUUCAUCUCAUAUCAAACACACAUCGAUGGUCUAUCCAUCGACCAAUCUUUUGUUCAAUAACUAACUAUGGUCAUGACACAACGCCUUGUGACAAGGCGAUCAAGAUUUCCCCUUGGCAAGGUCUCUACCUACAAAGUCGAUGGCUGGGCCCAGAAAGAUAUCCCAAACCUAGUAUGCAUACCCCAAAAAGCCCUCACUGGGUUCACAGUCAUAUUGAGCAUAAAUAACCAUUCUCCAAUACUAGAAAAUCAAAUUCAGAAAUCAAUAUCUUAAACCAAAAAAAUAACAUUUGCGGCAUAGCCCAUCAUCCAUUUUAUAUCCAUUUCUCAAAUCAUCAUAAACCUUUUCAUGAAUCAAUCACAAAGCAAUUUCAUAGAUAUUUCUCCACUUACUUUGUAUAAUACACUUUUCAAACAUCCACAAUCAACCAAUGAGUAGCAAUUGCUUGACCUGGCUUUUAUGCAAUAAAAAUGCUCUUCUCAAUUCAAUAUAUAUACAUAUAUAUAUAUAUAUAUAUAUAUAUAUAUAUAUAUAUAUAUAUAUAUAUACUUCAAGACAUGAUUUUUACAAAACCAAAGAAGAUAUAGUACCACUCACCUCGUCCUCUACGACCAAAUGACGAACGAUACUUGUGUCGUCGAACUCAAUGCCCUAUCAAAUAACCAAGAAAAAUGUUAAAAUCUAAUAAAACUCUAUCUCAACUACGAAACAACUAAAUUACGCCUUAACUCUAACAAAAGGAUUUCUACUCGCUAACAAUUUGCAUAACCAAAACUAUUGUUCAAGCCAUUUGUGACGCGGAGUUUAAGCGCAAAACUUAGUUACGCAAUAACUUUCUCCUUCGAACCCCGUUCCGAACGUACUUAUGGUCAAUAAAGAGCCCUUGACACAUAUUACAAGAAUCCCAACUUGACUGUCCCAAAAUCAAGCAAAAAGAUGACAAAAUACGGGCCCAAAGCUGCUGGACGCGUACUAUUCAUUGCGCGCGAGAAACUUUGAAAUUUUGUUUUGGAAAAACUUAUAAGCUCAAAUCAUGAUCCAUAAAAUCCCACGGCUCCACAACCCCUAAACUACCAUUCCUACAAAAAUACACGGCCUAACGACUCCAAAAUCGGACUUCGCUGCUCAAUUUUCCAAAAAUUCCGAAUUUGAACCCUAAACCUAUAAACUGCUUCAAUUGGACGAAUGGGGGGCCUGAUCUCUUACCGGGUGCUGCAUUAUGGGGUCGAGUUGGCUUGGUGAGACAUCUGAGGCGUGCAUGUGCCAAAACUCCUUUCCUUUCUCCUUCUUCUUCUUUUUUUUUUUUUUUUUGGUUGAGGACCCCUCAGCUUCUAUUUAACCGAGCCCUAACUUUUCAACUUCUUUUUAUAUUUUUUCUUUUGGGGCCCAGUAGCCAAAUAUUACAUUCUACCUUCCUAAAAAAAAAAUUCGUCCUCGAAAUUUACAUGUACUUCAAUCAUAAAACAAGUGAGGGUAUUUGUGUCAUGCCUCCUCCUCAAGUUCCCAAGUAGCCUCUCUCUCGGUGUGGUUUUGCCAUUGUAUUUUCACAUAAGGAAUAGUUCGUCGCCGCAACACCUGAUCCUUCUUAUCGACAAUGCAAAUAUGUUGUUCCUCAUAUGUCAAGUUCUCCCGUAAUCUCAAUGGAGUAAAGUCUAGCACAUGUUCAGGAUUUGCACAUAUUUCCGCAACAAAGAGACAUGGAACACAUUAUGGACACCUGAUAGUGCCGGUGGCAAAGCUAAUUUAUAAGCGACUUCACCAAUUUUCUCUAAGAUCAAGAAUGGUCCCAUGUACCUUGGACUUAACUUCCCACGUGUGUCAAAUCUCGUUACACCCUUCGUAGGAGAAACUUUUAAGAACAUGUGAUCCCCCACAUUAAAUUCUAACUUGUGUCUUUUUAGAUCAGCAUAACUUUUCUGACGAUUUUGAGCCGUUCUGAGACGUUCUCGAACCAACCUAACUUUCUCUUCUGACUGCUGGAUGAACUCAGAGCCAGUUAGUCUUUUCUCACCAACGUCAUCCCAAAAAAUAGGACUUCUACAUUUUCGCGCCAUCUUAAUACUGGAGUGAUAAUUGUUGUUAUAAGAAAAUUCUGCCAAAUAUAGAUGUUCAUCCCAAGAACCGCCAAAGUCAAUGAUGCAUGAUCUCAACAUAUCCUCUAAUGUCUGGAUCGUUCUCUCUGAUUGUUCAUCUGUUUGUGGAUGAAAAGCUAUACUUAAGUUGAGUUUAGUGCCCAAUGUUGCUUGCAAACUCUUCCAAAAGUUAGACACGAACCUAGGAUCCCUAUCAGAAACAAUGCUUACAGGAACUCCAUGAAGCUUCACUAUCUCAUUAACAUAUCGCCUUGCCAUAUCUUCCAUUGAAAGACCAAAUUGAUAUGACAAAAAGUGAGUGGACUUAGUUAAUCAAUCACUGUUCACCCAAAUAGAAUUCCUACCACUUGGCGUCCUCGGUAGACCAACUACAAAGUCCAUGGCAAUAUGCUCCCACUUCCAUUUAGGUAUCUUUAGAGGUUGCAACUAUCCACCUGGUUUAUGAUGUUCAAUUUUCACUGGCUGAUAAACUAAACAUUGAUCAACAAAUUUUAUAAUAUCAUUUUUCAUGUUGAUUCACCAAAAGUUUUUUCUCAAGUCCCUAUACAUUUUAGUGCUUCCCGGAUGAAUUGAAAAUCUAGUACUGUGAGCUUCUUGCAGGAUCUCCUUUUUUUAGCUUUGAGUCCUCAGGAACACAUAGUCGACCACGAAACAUCAAGGAUCCAUCUAUAUGUAAACUAAAUCUGCUUGUCUUCUAGCUUCCACAGCUUCUCUAAUUUUUUGUAAUUGUGGAUCUUCAUUCUGUUUAGCCUUAAUUAUGUUAAUCAACAUAGGUUGUACUUGAAGAUUAGCUAAUUGAGCACCAAGCUGCUGCACCAACACCUCUAAGUCUAACUUCCUCAUAUCUUCAAGAAUGGGUUUUUAAGAAGUGAGCAAAGCUACCAUAUUUCCAAAGGAUUUACGACUUAAAGCAUCCGCUACCACAUUAGCCUUACCCGGAUGGUAAUUAAUGGAUAAGUCAUUAUCCUUCAAAAGUUCUAACCAUCUUCUUUGCCUCAUGUUCAGUUCUUUCUGAGUAAAAAUAUACUUUAGACUCUUGUGAUCGGUAAAGGCUUCACAUUUUUCACCAUACAAAUGAUGCCACCAUAUCUUCAAGGCAAACACAACCGCCGCUAACUCCAAAUCAUGAGUGGGGUAGUUCUUCUCAUGUAAUUUCAAUUGUCUAGAAGCAUAGGUAACAACUUUGCUAUUUUGCAUAUGAACACAACCCAAACCUUCUUUGGAUGCGUCGCAAUAGAUUAUGAAGCCACCACUUCCAAAAGGUAGAGUUAGAAUAGGAGCCGACACCAGCCGUCUCUUCAACUCUUGAAAACUGCGUUCACAUUGGUCUGACCAUUCAAAUUUAACUUUCUUCUGGGUUAGACGGGUAAGUGGACUAGCAAUCUUUGAGAAUCCCUCUACAAAUCGCUUAUAGUAGCCGGCUAGCCCAAGAAAACUUCUCACUUCUAUAACAUUAGUUGGACGAUUCCACUUAACAACUACUUCAACCUUCUUUGGAUCCACUAAUAUGCCAUCCUUCGAGAUCACGUGACCCAAGAAUUCUAUAUGAUCAAGCCAAAAAUCACACUUACUAAAUUUGGCAUACAACUUCUUUUCAUGUAAAGUCUGCAAGACAAACCUCAAGUAUUGUUCGUGUUCCUCUAAACUCUUUGAAUACACUAGGAUGUCAUCAAUGAACACCAUAAUAAAUUUGUCUAGAUAUUCGUUGAACACUUUGUUCAUCAAGUCCAUGAAGGCAACAAGCGCAUUUGUUAAUCCAAAAGGCAUGACGAGAAAUUCAUAAUGGCCAUACCUUGUUCUAAAAGCAGUUUUAGGCACAUCAUCUAUUUUUAUCUUCAACUGAUGAUACCCAUAACGAAGGUCAAUCUUGGAAAAUACCUGAGCUCCCUGAAGUUGAUCAAAUAAAUCCUCAAUCUGAGGCAAAGGAUAUUUGUUUUUAACCGUUACCUUGUUAAGCUCUUGAUAAUCUAUGCAAAGCUACAUACUACCAUCCUUCUUUUUCACAAAUAGAACAGGAGCUCCCUAAGGCGAAACACUAGGUCUGAUGAAACCCUUAUCUAAAAGCUCUUCAGUUGCGUUUUCAAUUCUUUCAAUUUAGUGGGUGCCAUCCGAUAUGGUGCCUUAGAGAUUGGUGCUGUACCGGGCAUCAAUUCAAUACAAAACUCAAUUUCUCUAUCAAGAGGCAAUCCUGGUAAAUCCUCAGGAAACACACUUGGAAACUCUCUAACGACAGGAACAUCUUCCAACUUUACUACAACCUUAUGUGUGUCUUUUACACAAGCUAAAUAACCACAACAACCCUUUCUCAAAAGUUUCCUUGCUUGCAAAGCCGAGAUCAACCUUGGAGAAGUGUUUUGACAACUUCUCGAAAAAGAGAAUUCGGGUUGAUUCGAAAAUCUAAAUAUCACUUUUUUUGAAAAACAGUCAACAAUAGCACGAUAGGUAGAUCACCAAUCCAUUCCUAUAAUAACAUCGAAAUCUCGAAUAUUUAACUUUACUAGAUCCAGAGGCAUUUCAACAUUAUUAAUCUGAAUCACACAUCUCUUGAACACAUGAUGAACAACUAAGAAAUCGCCAGUAGGAGUAUCAACACACAAUUCACAUUCAAGAGGGUCAGGCAACACAUCAAGCUUCUUUGCAAAUUCAGUUGAAAUGAAGAAGUGCGUAGCACCAGGAUCAAAUAAGGCAUAAGCACAUUGUGAGGCAAUAGAAAUAUUACCUGCAACAAUUGCGUUAGAUGCUGCCGCAUCCUCCUUCGUCAUCGCAAAAAAUUUCUCACUUGUACUUUGUCUUUGUUGGUUCUCUUGGGGCCUACCAACGAAAGGGGUAUUCCUCCGCAUGGAACACUGGUGUGCUAGGUGGCCUUGUUGCCCACAUAGAUUACAUGAUCUAUUGCCAAUAGGAUGAUUCCUUUGUGUAGAACAAUCUCGCAGCAUGUGUCCCGCUUUCCCACAUGAGAAGCAUACUUCAGUUUUCCAAUGACACUCACUGCGAUGAUAACUUCCACAUGUAUUACAAGGGCCUUGGUUACUCGAAUUUCUGAACUAUCCUGGCUGGCUGAAACCUCUUCGCCUUCCACUACCAUCAGUAUGGCUACCUUGUACAUUUGUGGGCUUAAACCUUUUGGGUUGAGGCGCUCCUUGUGUGCCAUGCUUCAGAAUGCUUUGUUCCACCUUGAUUGUCCGUUCUAGCACAUCCUUAUAAGUUUUUAAUAUGAAAGGUGCAAGUGCAGAAUUAAUUUCAGGUCGGAGCCCUCCUAGGAAAUGGUCGUUCUUAUCUUCCUCAUUUGCUACCAAGUGCUAUGUAAAUGUACUCAACUGAUUAAAGCACCGUGGAGUCACCCUCAGAUAUAUGUACAAAGUCACCCUUCAUCUUUGCUUGGAAUGACUUUGGGAAGAAUUGAGCAUUGAACGCCUUUUUAAAGUCCUCCCAGGAUAUAAUAACAUCCCUACCUCCAAGACUUGGCUUCAUUCCAUCCCACCAAAACUCUACUUCACCUUCCAGGUAUUGGGUGGCAAAUUGAACUUUUCGAUCCACGGGAACCUCUUCAGCUUCAAAGAUCCCAUCAAUCUUUUUAAUCCAACGCUUAGUCGCAAGAGGAUCAGCUUUCCCAUCAAAAGUGGGUGGUUUUGCCUUUCUUAAAUGGCAAAAGUGCCUGAGCCAGUCACUCCAUCUCCAGUUAAUUCUUUUGCUUGUUGAUACCAAUGGAUCAUUGCUUGUUCAAAUUCAGUUGAACGGGUUGGCUCUUGAUCCUCUUCUUUGACUUCGCGCAAGUUAGGACUCCUAUUAUAGUGGUCCUCAAGUCUCCUUCUCAAAAACGCACCUCGAGAAGCUUGAGGCAUGUCUCUAGCCUCAGGGGUAGCGACUCGUUUGCCUUUGCGGCUCCUACGAAGCGAGGCAAGUGUCUCAAAGUUGGUACUCAUGAUCACCUGAAUCUAAUAAUGAAACUACACCUUAGAAUCUAGAAGACUAACGCAAAAAUAAAAUCUAUCACACAACCUCACAACAUCCCAUAACUACAUCCAAAAAGAUCAAAACUUAGGCUCUGAUACAAAAAAUGUCACACCCCAAAACUACAAAGAAUGAGGAUGACACGGCCAUCAUUCCACACGAAUGACGCGACCUCAAACACAACCAACAAACUGAUAUCAACUUAUAUAUAUCUCAAACCAUAUAUAUACAUAUAAGAUAAACCAACAAAUUGGUUGCAAUAUCAGAGUUUCUAUAAUCCACUAAAAAAAAUAUACGUUUAAAACUCAGACAAUACAACCACUAGUAAGGAUCAUGUGCACCACUUCUUUAAACCAUACCAAAGAAAAUAAAAAUAGAACUCCUCAAAAGUUUCCCACCAACGGCCCUCUCGCUCUAUUCGCCGCUAACCGAGGAACUUGAAAAGAUUAAAGGAGGAGUGGGAUGAGCAACAACAGCUCAGUGAGUAGUACAUCUCUUCUAAGCAGAUUGAACAACCAUUAUGCAUGUAUAUAAAGUAAUACCAAACUUCAUAAUGCCAACUCAAUAUAUAAAAUACAUAUCGAAUCUUAUAAGAGUUAUUUCUUAUCAUCAAAGCUUAAUAAUAAUAUGGAAAACUCAUUUAAAUCGCCAUCAAAAGUCAAGUAUCAAUGGUCAAAUCCAUUGAAUAAUCUCCAUCAAAAACACAUAUCAAUGAUCUAUCCAUUCAUUCAUCUCAUAUCAAACACAUAUUGAUGGUCCAUCCAUCGACCAAUCUUUUGCUCAAUAACUAACCAUGGUCACAACACAACGCCUUGUGACAAGGCGACCGAGAUUUCCCCUUGGCAAGGUCUCCACCUACAAAGUCGAUGGCUGGGCCCAGAAGGAUAUCCCAAAUCUAGUAUGCAUACCCCAAAAAGCCCUCACUGGGUUCACAGUCAUAUUGAGCAUAAUAACCAUUCUCCAAUACCAGAAAAUCCAAUCAAGAAAUCAAUAUCUUAAACUAAACGAAUAACAUUUGCGGCAUAGCCCAUCAUCCAUUUCAUAUCAAUUUCUCAAAUCAUCAUAAACCCUUUCAUGAAUCAAUCGCAAAGUAAUUUCAUAUAUAUUUCUCCACUUACUUUGUAUAAUACACUUUUCAAACAUCCACAAUCAACCAAAGAGUAACAAUUGCUCAAUCUGGCUUUUAUGCAAUACAAAUGCUCUUCUCGAUUCAAUAUAUAUAUACUUCAAGACAUGAUUUUUACAAAACCAAAGAAGAUAUAGUACGACUCACAUUGUCGUCUACAACCAAACGACGAACGAUACUCGUAUCGUGGAAUUCAAGGCCCUAUCAAAUAACCAAGAAAAAUGUUAAAAUCUAAUAAAACUCUAUCUCAAUUACGAAACAACUAAAUUACGCCUUAACUCUAACAAAAAGACUUCUACGCGCUAACAAUUCGCAUAACCAAAACGAUUGUUCAAGCCAGUCGUGAUGCGGAGUUUAAGCGCAAAACUUAGUUACGCAAUAACUUCCUCCUCCAAACCCCAUUCUGAACGUACUUAUAGUCAAUAGAGAGCCCUUGACAAAUAUUACAAGAAUCCCAACUUGACCAUCCCAAAAUCAAGCUGAAAGAUGACAAAAUACGAGCCCAAAGUUGCUGGACGCGUACUGUUCACUGCGCGCAAGAAACUUUGAAAUUUUGUUUCGGACAAACCAUAUGCUCAAAUCACGAUCCGUAAAAUCCCACGGCUUCACAACACCCUGAACUACCAUUCCUACAAAAAUACACAGCUCAACGACUCCAAAAAUGGACUUUGCCGCUGGAUUUUCUAAAAGUUCCGAAUUUGAACCCUAAACCCAUAAACUACUUCAAUUGGAUGAACGAGGAGCCUAAUCUCUUACCGGGUGCUGUGUUAUGGGGUCGAGUUGGCUUGGUGAGGCGUUCAAGGUGUGCACGUGCUAAAACUCUUUUCCUUUCUUCCCCUUUCUCUUCUUUCUUUUCUUUCUGGUUGAGGACCCCUCAGCUUCUAUUUAACCGAGCCCUCUCCUCUCUUCUUUUUACUUUAUUGACUUUUCAACUUCUUUUUAUGUUUCUUCUUUUGGGGCCCACUAGCCAAAUAUUACACCUUCCCACCGAGUCAAGUCAAUGUCGCCCCUACCAUCUUCUACGUCUCGACGUGAGGAAGUUAUUGUUGCCCGAGUGACACAUGUAAUGACGCCUUGAGGCCCUCCAUCUUUUCCUUAUCACAACUUGUCCCGUUCUUGCACCGAUUCCUCACUCCUAGUGCGUCCCACUUUCACCAGAUUUCUGAGGAAGAAAGGAAAAUGUCGAGCUCUCAGUGUUUUGAGAACCCACCAAACCUGAGCUCCACUUGCGGAGCAGGACACGUUGAAGAGCUUGCAGGUCUCAAGACUUACGUCACCGGCCCUUCCGAUUCCAAGCGUGCUGUUCUUCUCAUCGCCGAUGUUUUCGGUACUGGCCCAUUUCUUUAAUUUUGAUUUUGUGGUGUUUCUCUCAGUUGGGUCUUUUCUUUUGGUCAAUUAUGUAUAUCUCCUUGGUUCUUUGUCGUUCUUGUGCUUUUCGAUUGGUCCAUGAUAUUGCUGCUUGAUUGAUGAUCUUUGCUCAUCUGUUUGUGCAGGGUAUGAGGCUCCUAAGCUGAGGUAUGGAAUCUUUCUCAAGUUGUUCUAUGUAUAUGUUGUUCUCUAGUGCCAUCUUUUGACGUUUCAUGGUGAAUAAACUCUGUAUUCUCCGGAUAGCAUACAUUUGAAAGCUUUGCUUUUCCGUUCACCUUUCACCUGUGAUGACGAAGAGCAUUAGAUGGCACUUGAGGGCGAAGCCAGUUCAUUCUGGAUGAGUGUGUUUGGCGUUCUUCUGUUCCAAGUUAAAACAUCAUUUGUUGAAUUGUAUAUACACGCGGGACUUCAUGGCAUAGUCCAGCUGACAUUUUAUAUACAUCGCUUGAUUCAAUAUGAAUCACAGUUUUCUUUGUUCUAAUGAUUUCUGCUACUAAUAUGACUCAGCUGGUCAUGUAAUUCGGUUUCAUCUUGAGAUAGAGUUAUCCUUAGUUGCAACACCAAAAUCACAUAAGCUGGGGUUGCCUUCUUGACAGUCCCGGCAUAAUUCUAUGUUUUAACAAGAUUGAGAAUGAUAAGAGUUACCUUUUCAAAUUGUCAUACUUAUUUGCGGAAUGCUUUCGUUGUGUAGGAAACUCGCAGAUAAAAUUGCAUCCGCGGGAUUCUUGGUGGCUGUACCUGAUUUCUUUUACGGAGAUCCCAUUAUUGAUUUCACUAGUCCUAAUUUCAAUUUUGAAGCUUGGUUUAAGAAUCACGGCACGGUGAGUUUUUCACUCCUUCAGGCUGUGAAAGUGUGACAGUACAUUUAGAAGUUCAGAGGAAACAAGGGGCUUUCUACUGUGCAAACUUGAUUUGUAGACUCGAAUCACACGGUGUAAGUUGCAUUGGUAUUUAGACCUGGUUGGAGAUUGCUGGUCAUUUCAAAGAUUUUCGACGCCCAGCAAGAUCUUUAUUAUAUAAAAUUCCAAAUGCAAAACAUGAAACAGCAUAAGUAGAAUAAAAGCCUCAUGAAUUUUGAUGUUACCGACUUUUAGACAGUCUUUUUAUAAACGUUUACUUAAUUUGCUUCUUUAGGAUAAAGGGCAUGAAGAUGCCAAGCCAGUGAUUGCUGCUCUUAAGAGCAAAGGUGUGUCUACCAUUGGGGCUGCAGGAUUUUGUUGGGGAGGUAAAAUUUUCUGAAUUCACUUUCCCAGUUUUGAGGGGGUUGUUGGGUUAAGAAAUGGGAAAUUUGUUCUAGUUGGAAAUUGUGAUCCAUUUUCUCUAAAAAAAUCUAGAGCUACUAACUUAAUCAUUAAGGUGAGAACCUUCUAGAAUUGUUGAGAAUGGAGAUUGCUAGUUGAAUCUAGAAAAUUCACAUGGGAAUGCAAGCAAGCAACAGCCAAGCAUCAAAGAAAAUCCUAGAACAAGUAAGAGGAGUCUAGAGAAGUCCAUGCUUCAAGAGAAGUCUAGAAUUCUAGAAUGCUUCAAGAGAAGUUUAGAAUUCUCUAUCUUAUGUUAGUAGCUAUUUGUAGAGAAGUGUAGAGACUUCCUCCACCUACUUUGGCAGCCUAUAUAAAGGAGCAAGUGCUCCAUGUUUUGGUGAAAGGGAGCUAACCAUAAAAACCACAUCAUGCUCCCUCACCAACACUUCCUUCAACUAUUGUAAAAUUAUUUUAUCCAACUAAUGAAACUAUUUUUGUCCCAUAAACCUUCUCAAAAUAUCCCAUAUCCCAUGUUCUUUAUCCUUUAAUUAUCCUAAUUUAUCCCUUGUCCAUCCUCUACAAACUAUAUCAUACACUUGCACACAACAUCACUAAUAAAAAACUAUCAUCAAUACCAAAACCAUACUUCCGCGCAUAUUUAUAUUUUUAACAGUUCUACAUUGACCAUUGAGAAACUAGUUUUGUUGACUUGCAGAAAAGUUCUUUCAAGUUGUUAAAAAGAGCUUGCCUAUUCUUUUCAGGAGUGGUGCUGGUGAAAUUAGCAGGCACUGAAGACAUUCAAGCAGCAGUUAUUCUGCACCCCGGUCCUAUGACCGAAGAUGCAAUCAAAGGUAAAGCUAUGCCAAUAAACAUGGACUUGCUAUUUUCUUCUCAGCCGCAGCGAUAUAAUUUCUUCAUGAGGGUAUAAGACUUGGUACUUGGCACGGGAGCCUUUAUCGCCUAUUAUGAAAUGCUCAUGAACAAUUAAAUUAUAUGAAUUCUGAUGGGAGUCUGCAAUGCAGCCAAGAGUGACGAAGAAACUCGCUAUAACAUGUCCGGUCAAUCACAAAAAAUCGAUGGCACGACUUUUGUCUACUUGAGAAGUGUUCCUUAAACUGGAAGCCUUAAAAGACCUUAUUUUCUUCUGUUCUUUGUUCAGCUGUCAAGAUUCCAACUGC
rnacentral:lncRNA from 1 species